rnacentral:rRNA from 3 species
CUGUCGUAAUACCAAAACGACUCUCGGCAACGGAUAUCUCGGCUCUCGCAUCGAUGAAGAACGUAGCGAAAUGCGAUACUUGGUGUGAAUUGCAGAAUCCCGUGAACCAUCGAGUCUUUGAACGCAAGUUGCGCCCGAAGCCGUCAGGCCGAGGGCACGUCUGCCUGGGCGUCACGC